rnacentral:rRNA from 1 species
GAUAAACGCUGGCGGCGCACAUAAGACAUGCAAGUCGAACGGAAGUCGUUUUAGUGAAUUUGAAAUGAAAGAUUUAUCCGGAUUUGACGAUGAUCUAAACAAUGGCUUUAGUGGCGGACUGGUGAGUAACACGUAAGCAACCUGCCUGUUAGAGGGGAAUAACAACGAGAAAUCGUUGCUAAUACCGCAUAUGCCAUAGAAACCACAUGGUUUUAGUGGGAAAGGAGUAAUCCGCUAACAGAUGGGCUUGCGUCUGAUUAGAUAGUUGGUGGGUAACGGCCUACCAAGUCUACGAUCAGUAGCCGGACUGAGAGGUUCAACGGCCACAUUGGGACUGAGAUACGGCCCAGACUCCUACGGGAGGCAGCAGUCGGGAAUAUUGCGCAAUGGAGGAAACUCUGACGCAGUGACGCCGCGUAUAGGAAGAAGGUUUUCGGAUUGUAAACUAUUGUCGAUAGGG